GUAAGUUUUCUCUAUGCCUUAUUAUUAAAUUUUGCCUAUUUUCUAACAACUUCUUAUAUUUUUAUAGUCCCCUGGUCAGCUUCUCAAGUUGCCUUUCCUUGUGACAUAAUCCAAGAAGCUCUGAAAUUACCACUUCUUGAUUAAGUCUUUCUGUACUAAGUAAAAGCAUAUGAUUCCCCCAUUUCCAUUCUGGUCAAAUGUUUUAUGUCAAAUAUCAUCUCAAUAGCAAUUGUUUCCCAAUCAUGUAAAUUUUUCUGUAUGCACAAAUACAGAUUGAACACUAGCUGGUGUUCAUUGCAUGAAUGACCAAAUAGUUGCUUAGUAAGUGUAGUUUUAAUAUCUUAGUUAAAAUUUUAAUUAGUAGCUUUAGUUAAGAUAUUCUUUGAAUUUCAAAAAAGAUACUCUUUGUUUUAAUUAAACCUUUAAUCCAUGGUUUAAAACCUUGGAAAACAAUUACAAUAUGCUUAAGAUUUAUGACUAUGAUUAUCAUGUAAUGUUGUAGGUUAUUCAACAUCUUUGAUGGUUGAUUAGCUAUGGAAUGGUUAUUUGGAGAGAGUGAGAGAGUACAGAGUACAUGGAUAGCUUGAGUAUAGCUUUUUAAAUCACAAUUAGUUAGAGUGAUAUAAAGAAAAUAUUUUAUGGCCAAUUUGGGAGAUAAUAUAUAUAUAUAUAUAUAUAUAUAUAUAUAUAUAUAUGAAUCACACAGACUGGAAAGUCAGGCACACAAAUAAAAAGCAUACCAGAUUAUUGAGAUUUUAGAUCAACUGGAGUAAAUAUGAAUAUCAUAUGCAUUUAAUAAAAGGUUAAAACAGGAAGAUUCAUAGAAUGCAGUAGAGCUUGAAGGGGCCAUAAGUAUCCUAGACUAAUUUGACAUUUAAUAAAUUAAGAAAUUGAAGCCCAGAAAAGUAAUUUGCCCAUGAUUACACAGAGAAUUAGAAACUAUAGUUCCUUUGAUAUGUACUUCCCUCCAAUUACAUAUACAUAUACAUACACAUAUACAAAUAUACAUACAUAGCUUCCUAUUGAGGAAUUAUAAGCAUGUAAUAACAGAUUUAUCAACAUAUCUAUCAUCCAUCCAUCUACCUAACCAUUCAUGUAUCUAUAUAUCUAUAUAUCAAUGUAUCUAUCUUUGUAUGUAUGUAUGCAUGUAUGUGUCUAGACUUCUAACAAAACUCUACUUCACAGAGUUGAUUUCAACAAACUUUAUACAUGUUGGAAUAAAUUAUUCUUAUCUGGACAUUCCAAUGGGAAAAUCUUCAUAUGUUUGAGGUAGACAUGCCAUUAACUCACUGAUUGGGUUUGAGGCUCAUUGAUUAUCCUCAAUAUUGUGUCAAUAUGUUAUCUGAGACUGUUUACCUGGGCAUAAAUCAGCAUGCCAUAAUUUUUGGAGCCAUAGGUGAGAAUUGAGUAUCAGGUAAAUACCAAAAGUACAUGAACAGUCCUAAAAGGACUCAGCAAGCCCUCACUCCAGAUGUGUCAGUCCUCUUUGAACAUCCCAAUAUAGAGCAGAGAUAGAGACUUUAUUGACCUGUAACAAUUCUGGUAAAGAAACCCUUUGAAAGAUGAUGAAGUGAAAUCUAGGUUCAAGACUGAAACAAACCAAGAGAGAUUAGAAGUAUUGUUUAAAAUAUUAUUCUGAGGAGUCUGUCAGCUUUACCAGAAUUAAAUAGGAAUCCAUUUCAUAAAAAAAAAAAAAAAAAAAAAAAAAAAAAAAAAAAAAGGUCACGAACCAUGGCUUUAGGGGAAUGAGGGUGGGCAUAAGAGCUGGCUUAAAGUUUUGCAGAUUUUUAAUAUUUUUAAAAUAUCUAGAAAAUUAAUGUCAAAUUUAUGCACUAUAUCCUGGGCCAUUGCCAACUACCCUGAUAUUUGUCUUGCCACAGGACUUUGAUGACUGAAAAAAAGAGUGAGGUAAUUCUGCCCCACAUAAAUCUAAUUCAUGGGCAAAUCAAGACAUCAUCUAUAAUAUCAAUGAGCCUCUUCAAAAAUGAAGAAUAAACAAUAAUAUCUAUAUCUACUAUUUUAUCUGUUUAUCAAUGUAUUUAUAUAUCUUUAUAGAUAUCUAUUACUUUUGACUUUAAUAUGGAUUUACACUUGAAUGAAAGAAUAAGCAUUAAUUAAUCACUAUUUUCCUGGCAUGUUCAAAACUGAGAAGAGUUUUUGCCUUCAAGGAGUUUGUCUUAAUAGACCAGAACAACAUAUGCUGGGGAUUGUUGCUUCAAAAUUGCAUGCUUUUGAGUGGGAUAGAAAUUGGGGUCCAAGGGCAAUUAAUUGUUAUAUUUUAAUAGUAAUGGCAAUGUUGAUUUGGUUAUUAUUCUUAGAAAUAGAGCAGAAAGCAUUGGGAGUGAGUGUAGCAAUAUUUGCUUCUGCAUAGCAAGAAGAUGAUCUGAGGGCAGCAUGGUGGGUCUGAGUAGAACCCUAUAAUCUCCCUACAGAGAGGAAGUGUCCUUGGAAUUGCAGAACCUUCAAAAAGUGAUAAAUUUGUUUUUUGGGAGUAAUUUGGACAGCAGAAACACUGAGCCAACCUAGAUGUGACAUUCAGUAUUGAUUAUCUGCUUACAUUGCUUUACAUCUUUGGAAUAAAUUUAGGACCUGGCUGGCAACAUUCUGAAGAGGCUUCACCAAUGCCAACCCCAAUGAGAAUAGAUGUAAAGAGAAUCUUUGGACCAUGUCAAAUCUUGAAGGAACAACAUCAGAACCAGUGGCUGCAGUUGUUGCUUCUACUGCAGCAUUCAAGCCUCCUGAAAUCCCCACCAAGUGCAUUACAAUCUACCUGCAUCCUACCACUUACAAGCUAUGUAACCUGGAAAGGACUCUAAUCCUCUCAUGCUUUCUAAGUCAAAUGGAAUGAAAUCAAAAGACCAUUAAGAAACAAGCCUUUUUCACAGC
ensembl:lncRNA